rnacentral:rRNA from 1 species
AUUAGUGGCGAACGGGUGAGUAUCACGUGAGUAACCUUCCCUUAACUCUGGGAUAAGCCCGGGAAACUGGGUCUAAUACCGGAUACGACCAGUCCUCGCAUGGGGUGCUGGUGGAAAGAUUUAUCGGUUUUGGAUGGACUCGCGGCCUAUCAGCUUGUUGGUGAGGUAAUAGCUCACCAAGGCGAUGACGGGUAGCCGGCCUGAGAGGGUGACCGGCCACACUGGGACUGAGACACGGCCCAGACUCCUACGGGAGGCAGCAGUGGGGAAUAUUGCACAAUGGGCGAAAGCCUGAUGCAGCGACGCCGCGUGCGGGAUGACGGCCUUCGGGUUGUAAACCGCUUUCAGCAGGGAAGAAGCGCAAGUGACGGUACCUGCAGAAGAAGCGCCGGCUAACUACGUGCCAGCAGCCGCGGUAAUACGUAGGGCGCGAGCGUUAUCCGGAAUUAUUGGGCGUAAAGAGCUCGUAGGCGGUUUGUCACGUCUGCUGUGAAAGCCCGGGGCUCAACCCCGGGUGUGCAGUGGGUACGGGCAGACUAGAGUGCAGUAGGGGAGACUGGAAUUCCUGGUGUAGCGGUGAAAUGCGCAGAUAUCAGGAGG